ensembl:lncRNA
CUCCCAAGGGGGAAGGAUCUCUAUCUAGAGAUCCUUCCUCUUGGAGCCCUUCUGUGAGCCCAAGAUAUGGGACUGGUUUUCAGCUGGGUAGGCUUCUGUCACUGUUGAAGCAAGAAGAUGAAGCAGCGUCCUGUGAAACAGCAGAGGUAAGAUGUUGGAUGCAUUUUGUUGCAGAUAGAAUCGUUCUUUCUCUCCUGUUUCAAAAUUCCUCAUAGACAGAUCAGCUGGUCAAGCUUCCAUGUCUCAUCUUGACUUUGAAGACAGUCACCAUCUUUGACUGCUGAAUUUCUGAGGUUUCCAGAAUUUCAGUUUCAACAUAGAUGUCUCCUCAAAUCUAAAAACAUGGCAAUUUUUAAAUUAUUUUUAUAUUUUUAUAUUUUUUUAUUUUUAUUUUUUUUUGCUUGGUGAAAUGGAAGAUAGAUUAUUUGCUUUAUGAAAAAAGGUCAAAACCUGAACUGUUUUAAGAGGUAUUCAAUUCAGCAGUUACUGUGACUAACACCAGCUUGAGGAACAGUGCUAAAUUAUUUUGGGGAACCAGAAAUUCAUGUGAAUAGACAUAAUAUUUUUAGGUUUUUGGUUCUAAAUUACCACUCAGGUGGGAAGAAACUGGGAAGCUAUCUGAUGAUUAAUAUGAAAGUACUUUCUGGUUGUCAUCUUACUCUCAGUAAAAAAUAAUAUAUCGCCAAAAAGAAAACUGCAAACCAACAAGCCCUGCAUCACAAUUGGUAGUGACUGCCACACAAGGAGAUGGUGUAUAGAAGAUGAAGAAAAAAAAAGCAACAACAAAUGAGAUGGUUUCACUUCUUCCUUAGGGAGAACAACAAGAAUUUACAGACAUAGAAGAAGCACCACUCCUAGUACCACAGAUGCUCUAACAAGGACUCAGGUGUAUCACUUGCUUCAUGUUUUUGAACAGAUUGCUAACUGUAUUCUAAACCUGAACCACCUACUGAAGACCUGCAGGAAAAAAAAAAAAAAAAAAGUGGAAGAAUUGUGGAUAUCCUAAUUUGAGAGGAGGUUAUAGCACAAUAUUAUUAAGAUCAAACUGCCUCUUGCCUCAAAUCAAGAAGAAAACCACUCUUCUUUGACUAAAGCCAGCUCCAGCUCUGAAGAAAAGCAGCAUGGCUUGCCUGACACUCUUGGUACAGAAGCUUCUCCAGCAGAGGUUCCUGCCAAUGAGAGACGAGAUCAGCUCACAUCAGAGGGAGGUCACUGGAUUCCUUGAAAAGAAGAGGUGGCUGUGCGUGUCUUCCUGUCCCUAUGCUUUCCUAAGCUACAGGGUAGCACUGAUCUUCCUCAGCAAGUUCAGUGCCUUGAAGCAACAGGAUCCCUGCCAGCCCACCAGGAUAGUGACAUCUGUGCUCCUGCAUACCAGUGUUUGGGAAGUAGGCAUGAUACCUGACAUCCAGCACAGUCAGGAACGAGCCAAAUCAAGAUGGGAAGGAGAGAAACUCUGGAUCUGUAGAGUAAGUAGCCUUAGUUGUUCCAUGUAUGCCUGGCUAAUCUGUCAGUAUUAAGGAAGACACUUGAAUGUUGAAGGAAAACAGAAAGCAAAGAAAAAAUCCCAGUGUCCAAGCGCAUUCUCUUGUAUGCUAUAUGAACAUAUAGUGGGAUUGCCUGGGAUUGGCCUCCCUGGAGGUAUUCAAGGCCAGAUUGGAUAUGGCCUGCCCACAGCAGGGAGUUGGGUCUCAAUAAUCUUUAAGGUCUCUUCCAACCUAGACUAUUCUAUGAUUCUAUGGUUCCAUGUAAAUCAUAGUAUUUUGUAGAAGUUUGUUUUUUCACCAUUUAUGGGGAAAAUUCAAGGUACUGUUCUCAUAAUGAUGAAAUAUUUCACAAUUAUGAGUUGCUUAAGGUAUUGUAAAUGAAUGCUAUGAGCUAUGUGUGUGUGAUAUUUGACAUAUUAAGGAUGCACUAUUGCAACACAGAAUGUCAUAUAAAACCAAAGGGAAGUAAUUCAGAGCAAAAUAUUUUAAAUGAUCUUGUACUGAUUUUUUGUGUAAUUUUUUCUCUCUCUCUCUUUUUUUUUUUUUUAAGGAUUUACAGUUGCAGGAAAUGAUUUUUCCAGGAGUAGCUCUUAUUCUAACUAGGAAUUAGAAUUAUUGAAAUGUUGAAUGGCCUGCAAACAAAAAUUUCAGUUCCCAGCUGACUCUGUCCACUAGUUUAUCAACAUAUUUUUGGACUCCACUGAAACAAUCCACGGCAAAGACAACAGAUAGCCCUAGGAAUUUGUGCAGGCUAUUGAGUCUUUCCAUUGUGGGCUGCUGGUUCAAAUCCUAGUGGACCUGUAGGGGAACAAGGAAAAGCUGAUACCAUGACUUUAGCUGUGUGGUAUGAGUUUUCCUCCCUGGGUAUAGGUGACAGCAACAGAAUUAGCAUUAAUUAGUCCACUUUGAAAUUUCAGCCAAGGUUUGACAUGGCAAAGUGGGGAAGCCUACUGUGCUGCAGACUGAGCUGUGCUUGCUCUGUGGAUGAAAAUAUAGCUUCCCUUUUCCAGGUCCAGUCCAGGCACUUUUCAUUAAUACUGUCACUGUGAAGCCAUAGGGAAAGCUAAGAGAGCUGCUUAAUAACUAGCAAGAACAAUAGAAGAGUAUCAUCAGACUAGGUAAUUGGUUAGAGAUAGUACCCUGGGAAGACAAGGACUAAAAGCAGUGAACUGCAGCCGGCCACACAAUCCAAGGUAACAGGCAGUGAGCUCUGGAUUAGCAACCAAGGCAACUUUAAUAAUUUAACUGUAGCAUUCACAGUAAUUUAACUAUGCUAUCCAGAACACAAAGCUAAUGGUGAUAUAGUGAAUGCAGGUAAUAUUCAGAAAGUUUGUUAAAUGCCAGUACAUAAAAGAGUCUCCGUGGAGAAGGCCAAUAUUCAGAUUUGUUGCUCUUGUUUUCUUUCUCCUUUUUCUCAGAUAGCAAGCAUUUAGUUUGUGAUAGUUAUUUGCUAGCUAGUAAGGGAAGAUGGGCUGUUUCAGAAGUUCCUAUUGACAGCCAGCUUACAGAGUGUAACAGGCUGACACAUUUUGCUGUCUUUGAAAACUGAAUAACAAAUGUUUUUGCUAUUUACAAGCCAGAAAUGAAUCGAUGGAUCUGAGUUAGAGAGCACACUCCCAAAACAUGCCAACACAUUUCUGCAUGCACUGCUUGCAAACUCUGCCUUCAUCCAAAUUAACAUCCUAAUUUGUGAAGGCUGCAAAAAAAAAAGUAUAAUUCAGAAUACAGAAUUGUUGUAGCUCAAAACAGAUUCUCAAAAUUUAUUUUAUAGCUUGCCCACACACAGAGUUCUACCACUCCACUGCUGAGAAUAAAAUGGUAGAACCUCUCUCUAAGGAUUACACCCACCACUUUAUUGCUGAAGAUGCUAGCCUGAAUAAAAUCCAUGAUCGUGCUCUGUUGCAUUCUCUCACUCUGGGAAGUCAAAUUCUUUUCCAGAAGUGACAGUAUAAAAUGUCUGCUUCUUUUACAACAAUGGUGCUUUGUGUACGUAUUCAUAGGCAGACCUUUUGCUUUAAUGACAAAAAAUGGAUUUUUACAAUCCUUGACUCCCACUAGCAUUGAGGAGUCCAUAAAGUUCGGAAAAAAUGAAUUAGAUUCGAUUGUGACUCACAUGUCCUGAUUGAACCACCGCUGCAAACUCCUACUGCAGCAACAAAUCCUGCUAAUUGUGUUGGGCAAACUAACUACACAGCCUGAGCUGAAGGGAAAAUUUAAACUCCCAAAUAAUACACAUAUUUUUGAAUACAUACUGAGUGCUGCUUUCAAGUUCACAUUGUAGUGGCCUACUGAAUCAGUUCUAGCACAGAUUUGGAGGCCUGUGAAUUCCCUCUGAGCUGGAAACUAUACAGAUCGCAUGUGUUCAUCAGCUGCUGGGGUUAUUUUUCUAAGCACUCUUCAAUGUGAGUGGUAGUGAAAGACUGUAAAAAUCCAUUUAGUACUUGACUAACUGUAGUUCUAAGCACACACUGAAGAAUAUAAUUUCCAUUGCCACUGAAAGCAUGUGUUUGGAAGAACUGUAUCUAUGAAGCCCACCUGAAUCAUUAAGGUAGUGGUGGGACGGUGAGUGGGGGUGGGAGAGGUAUGCUCAGUUUAUAUGAAAAGAACCAUGUCAGGACAGAUUUUUGCCUAUGGGAAAUGUGUGAGGAAGGAUGUAAAGGGAAAAAAAAAAACAUCUCCAUGACAGUCCUCCCUUCCAGGGACUUUGUCCCUUGGAAGAACCUACUGGAGACAAAGGCAUACUGUGCCUUUGCACAGCUUGGGGGCCUUCACAGCUUUCAUCAUUCUUGCAGCCAUCAACCUGCCUGUAAAGGCUAAUGUUUUGCACUGCACUUGUGUAUUAGCUCUCUGACUGCAAGCCGUCACUUCAAGGAGCUUACACCUCACACCAUGCUUCACGAGCACACCACAGCUGAGUUUCAGUGCUGGAUCUUACUAUUUUAAUUAGAUUGCUAAGUACACUGUGGAUGUUGCUGCUAAACUUAUGUUGACCACAGCAUACACAAAGGUAACCCCGAGCAUCCAGGAUCUAAGAGACAAAAAAAAAUAGUCAGCCCUGUAGUGGGGUUAAAAGGAAGCUAGAUUUGUCUUUGUUCCACAAAGUGUAGCAUAAACUGCAUAAUUAGUCAUUUUGGCCUGAAGCUUUAUCUACAUGACAAUGUAGCACUACUAUUAGUAAUAGCAAUCCAAAGCAUCUUUUCUGAGUUGACAAAAAUUUUAGGUAUGCUAUUUAUAGCAACCAUUGCACACACUGACAUGAGAAAUAAUUGUUACUACAACAUCCCGUUAGUGUUAUUUUUGUAUUCUGUUCCAAUUUGUAUAUAAAUGAAACCUAUGAACAUUUCCUGCACUGACCUCAUGUCUUUGUGUAGAUGGGCUUUAGACCAGAUCCAAGGAAGUGCUAAAUAAUCAUAUAAGCAGCAAGAACAAAUUCAUGGUUGAGCACCAUUAUUCAUCAUGGUGUAAUAUGUGAUCACUGAGCAGGCAGUGGUGAAGAGGAGGCUCAGGGAAGACCUUAGCACUCUGUACAACUCCAUGAAAGGAGGCUGUGGUGAGGUGGGGGUCAGCCUCUUCUCCUGUGUAAGUAGCGAUAGGACUAGAGGGAAUGGUCUCAAGUGCAUCCGGGGAGAUUCAGCUUGGUUAUUAGGAAAAAUUUCUUCUCAAAAUGAGUGGUCAGACACUGGAACAGAGUACCCAGGGAGGUGGAGUCACAGUCCAUGGAGGUGCUCAGAAACAUUUAGCUGUGGUACUUAAGGACAUGGUUUAGUGAGAACUGUUGCUGACUAUUGCAGGUAGACGGCUGGACUAUAUCAUCCUGGAGGCCUUUUCCAACCUCAGUGAUUCUAUGAUUCUAUGAACUUUUCCAUGGAUGUGCUUGGAUGAUUUUUCCUUCUCAUUCCUCUUUGUCUCAUCCUCUCUUCUCAUUACUUAUCUUUAAGGAACAGAAACCAGUCUUGACUUGCUACUGAGAAAACUAGGUACAACGAGAUGCCUUCUACUUUUCCCUCUGAGAACCUAUUCUCAAAGCUAAAGAAAUUGGCUCUAAAUUGCCAUAACAGAGUAUCUCGAGCCACAAGCUCUAUUCAGCCUCAGUAGGCAGUGAUAGGCAAAAAGUCAUUCAAUAGAAGAAGUCACUGAGGAAAUCUGCAGAAGUGAUGUUGGCAGGUGGCUAGGAAGCUCUAAUCUCUUUGCAUCACAGUAGAACCAUGUGCUAAAAGGCUAAGUCUUCAGAUUAUGAAGAAAAUUAUGAUUCUUGCCAAGAUCCCUUGAUUGUUUCAGACAAAUUGGAUUAGUUAAAAGGACUAGUUAAAGGAUUAGUUAAAAUUGGACUUUUGUUCUUACAGAUCAUAUUUAAUUUUGAAGAUUUUUGACUGAAAAUAUGAACCACCUUUUGUCAGUUUGAUGCAUGCAGUUUUGUUUUGCACAUCCUUUCCUGAUGAACUGAGUGCCAUUGCUUUGGAAUGUCAAAACUUCUUUGGAUUUUGAACAUAUUAGAGUUUAUCUAGCUUCAGGAUGAAUCUCAGUGAUAGAAACAACGGUGCCUGUGAUGACCACAUUGUGAUGAAUUUAAAAUAUAUUCACUGGUUUUGCUAGACCUUCAAGAGCUUUAUAAAGUUUACAAAAUAAUUCAGGAUCCUUAAAAGAAACCUACUACAAAACAGAAGUGUUACUAACAGAGAACAUUUUAGGAUGCCAGAGAAGAAACAGCCACAUUCAGACUGCUUAUAAUAGUGCGCAAGUGAAUUUAGGGUUCAACAGUGAGCAAAUUAAAAUGCCUGUUAGUCAGAUGUAAUAGCUGGUGCUGACUGCACCAGGAGUCAUUUUCCUGUUUGUUUAAUGGGCAGGGGGAGGACCUAUACCUAGUUUCACCAGAAGGAUCCAGCAUUACUUUCAUGGCAACUUCUGUCAUUUACCUGUCCAUGAAAUAUGUAGUGAUAUCUCCAUUAAGUGUAAGUAGUUAAGAUGCUUCCUCUGACACUGUUAUAACUCAAUAACAUAGACUGGGGAUAAGAAAAAGGACAAAAAAAAGAAAGGGAGAAAAAAAAAAAAAAAAGAGAAAAAGAGUUUUUCCUAAUUGAAGAAAAAGCAGUUUUCCAAAAUUUGAAACAUCCCUUUUAGAGAGGGUACUCCUAUGGGUCUACUUUUUUUUUUUUUUCUUCACUUUUAAUUACUAAUCUCUCAACCACUCCACAUGACAGGACAUCACUCUUUCCAACCCAGAGAGGAAAGACUGAGGCCCCUCUUUGACUAUCCUGGUGCUUUUCUGACAGCUGAAUGUACUGCUAACUUGAUUUUUUUUUUUUUCCCCCUUGGACCUCUUCUGCUCUGAAGCCGAUCAGUAACAUGGCAGGGACACUGCUUUUCUGUGGUAAUUGAGGUAUUGCUUGUAACAGGUGAGGAUGAGCUGGUGGACAUGCAGCCAACAGCAAGCUGUGUGUAGUAGUAAUUUCACUGGCUUUCGAGACCCUUCUAUCAGAGAACCUCAAUCACUGGGACAUACAAAAGAGGGGACAUGAAACUGAUCUCCCGAAAGGAAGUAAGGAAGAAGACUUCUGAGCUGGCGCUGAAUCACAGAGAAAUCAAACAGCCUUUUAUGCAGUUUUUGCAUACAUGGGCUUUCAGCAACAUGACCACGCAGAGCUGUGAUCUGACACAGCCAAGAGGUGAGCUCCUUGGCGUCAGGUGUGUGGUGGUAACGACAUGUCACGAGCAGCUGCCUGGCACUUGGCAAGCAUCUGCUUCCCAGGUAAGCAUUCUAAAAGGCAUUUACAAAUAUAAGACGUAACAUCACUGCACAUAGCUCUGGGAAUGUAAAGGGGGCUACACAAAAGGCUGGAUUUGUGAAAUUCAGUGUUUUGUUUACAGGUAGCAGGGCUGUUGUCAUUGUUGGCCUGUGAGAGCCUGAACUCCCAGCAUCUCCAAGAGUGCAGGUGAACGUCCUGACUGCCUGAGCCCUCUUCCUGUGCAACUUGUCUCUCAUCCAUUUCUCUGUAACCAGUACUGAGGGAGCAGGAACCAAUAAAGGCAAGUAGUGAACUGGGGGAUAAAGGAUUGGAUGUUCCAAGAAAUGAACAUGAAGUGCUGACUCCUUGAAUUCAUCACAUCUUCCAUGAAGAACAACAUUCUCCUCUCAUGCAGAAGAGUUGAAUGAGGACCCAGCACAACAGUUACGUCAAGCUGAAAGGGACCUCCUCCACAGAUUCAUGCACAGCCAAACUCACAAAAUGGAGAACUGUUCAAAAUGGAGAUUCGGACUUUGGACACAGUUCAGACAUGUUUUAUAGCAGUUUCUGGACAAAGACAGCAAGGCAAAGCUGUUCCAAGUCAAGACACCUAACAUUUCUUACAAGCAGUUCUACCUUAGUACAUCAGUACUCCUGCGCUUCUGUUUCAACCUGCUGGAGUAUGUGUAAUUGAUGUAGGGGUUGGGAAUGUCACCUGACAUGAACAUAAGGAAAAAGUUAAGCUCUCUCAGCUUCCAGCACAUAUUUUUUAAGACAUUUUAAUCCUCUCCCUUUCAUGUAUGAUAUACUCAGGAGGUCAAGGGAGCAUUAACACUUCCCUUCCUCCAUUGCCAUUAACACUGGCCAGCCCAGCAAGAACUGGUGUUGUUGGUUGCUGUAAUUGCUUUCAUGCACACUCUUGCAUAUAUGUUUUUUUCCCUUUCAAACAACUUUUCAUUAUCCUACUUCUUUAACAGUAUUUACAGAUUACAAAUUACCCCUCAUCUAAAUACAAUCAGUUCAAAACACCAGUAAGAGAUCUCACUGUUUCCAGCUUACAUAAAGGUGCUAGGGGGAAGAAAGGACACUUUCCCACCACCGUCUUACUUCCUACUGCAGUGACCAAAGCCAGAAUGGAGAAACCAUUUCACCCUGGUGUGGCAAUUACUGCACAUCACUCUGUGAGAGCUAGAGAGGGGAAAGGCCAUGAUUAGGCAAGCUCUUGAUAUAGAUCAACAAAACAGAUGAAAUUAAACUGGGUGAGCUGGCACCAUCUCAAACAUGGUAAAGCAAAGAUGUUUACUCUGCCUGUGGUUGAGGCAGGGUAAUACUCUUACUAAAUAGCUCUCUGAAAAAGUCACUCAAGGCCACACAGAUUGAUAAAGCUAAAUAUCCCUGUGUAUGUAAGUAAACUCAUUUUUUCAGUGUCAUUUUAUAGCUACCAGUGGGAAGGUAGACAGAUGUGGUAUGUAUGUUUUGCAUGACGCACAAAACAAAGAUAGCAAAGAACCUGAGUAUAUCUCCCAUCUGGGCAUUCUUCUCUGCCUUCUUAAGGAUGAACUUGCUGGCCUUACAGAGAGAAGAAAUUUCGGAGGUUUCAGAGGCCUUCUGGGCAUAGUAGAUCUCAUGCUCUCUGGAAAGGGAAAAAAAUAAGAACCAUGUACAACCCAUGUACACUGAAUAGAUCAAGUCAGAAAGGAGAUAUCUCCUGUUAAGUACUUUAGUGCCACAGAAGCUGAAAUGAUGACCAUGAGUAUAGCGAUACAAGAGAAAAUGGCUCAUCACCUAACAUUAAUUACUUAAUGACACAAAGCUGGUAAUAUAAAAAUUGCUAUUGGUGGUCAAAGUUGAGUAUAGUCAGGAUGGCAUAGCACUCUGAACUCCAAAUAUCUAUUUCACAAUCUACCUCAAAUUAAAUUCUCCUUUUUUCUCCCUUACUGAGACUAUCUGGCUUCUUUUUCAUUCUUAUUUUUUGCUUCCUUCAUUGUACCCUGUUUUCCCCCAGUCUAGCCCUCCUGGGAUAGACUAAGCUGGAAAAACUUCAGUUUGCUGCUAUUUUGCUCUGCACUACUUAGCCUCAUAAAGUAGCUUCAGAGACGGUCAGUUUCUCGCAUACAAGGACAAGAUGUCAUGAGGCACGUAGUAGAAGAGUAAACCCAAGCUCUGAUUAUUUUCCUGAAAUGGGAAAAGAGGAAAUGAGGGGAAAGGGAUAAAGGGGGAUUAAAAAUACAGAUAUAUACCAGAAUAAGCAGAAGUGAAAGAUACUACUUCUCACAGAAAAUUUAAUAACUGGGGUCAGUUGAAACCUCCCAGAGCAUCCUCUAGAGAAUAGGAGUCACCCUCCCCCUCACUCAGCCUGGAAACUAGCUACCAGUCCUGUUUAGUCACACACGGAGGCUAAAACCUUCUCUUUGUUAUGUUCACCUACAG